UUCUCAAUGGCCUUUCUUUUCCUUCCUUUCCUGUAAAUAGUUCUUACCGCAACUACACCUUGAAGUAAGGAGUCUGUACAAAGGAGUCUUUCUUCCCCCCCCGGGAAGUCCCGGAAGGGAAACCUUCUAGCUUUGUGAUGACGCGACUUCGACGUUCGUGAAGUGCGAGAGGCUUCACAUCUUUCCUCUACUACCACUCACGAGCCGGGACCCAGCGAGCCAGCGGACGAUCGCGGUAAGGGCAUCGCGCCCUAGGUAGAGACCGCCCGAGAUGUUUAUUUACUCUAGUUGCAUACCCCUUUUACUAUAUCAUCUUUUGUACUUGAUGAUUUGGUUAUUAAAGAAAAGAACAUGUAUGUUGUAAAAGAUCCUUACAUUUAAAUGCAAGAAUGAUAUUUUGAGAUCC